AAGGAUCAUUAACGAGUAAUCGGGGGAGAGGUCGGUUGUGGGGGUGGCUGUAUGCUGGUGCCUUUGUGGGUGCAUGUGCUCGUCACCCUUGACCUCUAACCCAUCCAACUCCAAACCCCCCAAUCUGUGCACUUUGCUGUGAGGUGUGUCCACCGAGGGAGGUAGACAUCAGCACCUCACGGAACCCCAUCACAAAAACACCUUAACAAGUCGAGUAAGAAUGUAUAAAAAGUUAACAAGUACAACUUUCAACAACGGAUCUCUUGGCUCUCGCAUCGAUGAAGAACGCAGCGAAAUGCGAUAAGUAAUGUGAAUUGCAGAAUUCAGUGAAUCAUCGAAUCUUUGAACGCACCUUGCGCUCCUUGGUAUUCCGAGGAGCAUGCCUGUUUGAGUGUCAUGAAAUUGUCAACCCCAGAGUGCUUUGUGUGCUUCUGUGGAUUGGACUUGGGGGUUUGCCGGCCGCGAGGUUGACUCUCCUUGAAUGCAUUAGCCCAGGGGACCGUCUUUCGGGGGAUCACGGUGUGAUAAGCUUUGCGCCGUUUGCCUCUACUCGACUGCCCCGCUUCUAAUCGUCUUCGGACAAAACUACGUCUAACUUC
rnacentral:rRNA from 1 species